UACGGAGGGUGCAAGCGUUAUCCGGAUUCACUGGGGUUAAAGGGCGCGUAGGCGGACAGGUAAGUCAGUGGUGAAAUCUCUGGGCUUAACUCAGAAACUGCCGUUGAUACUAUUUGUCUUGAAUAUCAUGGAGGUAAGCGGAAUAUGUCAUGUAGCGGUGAAAUGCUUAGAUAUGACAUAGAACACCAAUAGCGAAGGCAGCUUACUACAUGGAGAUUGACGCUGAGGCACGAAAGCGUGGGGAGCAAACAGG
rnacentral:rRNA from 1 species